GGCUGAGUGGCGGAACGGCAUACGCGGCUGACUUAAAAUCAGCUCUCCGAAAGGGGUUGCGGGUUCGAGUCCCGCCUCGGCCA
rnacentral:tRNA from 1 species